rnacentral:rRNA from 1 species
UACAGAGGGUGCGAGCGUUGUCCGGAAUCACUGGGCGUAAAGGGUGCGUAGGCGGGUCUUUUAAGUCAGGGGUGAAAUCCUGGAGCUCAACUCCAGAACUGCCUUUGAUACUGAGGAUCUUGAGUACGGGAGAGGUGAGUGGAACUGCGAGUGUAGAGGUGAAAUUCGUAGAUAUUCGCAAGAACACCAGUGGCGAAGGCGGCUCACUGGCCCGUAACUGACGCUGAGGCACGAAAGCGUGGGGAGCAAACAGG